rnacentral:tRNA from 1 species
AUUCUUUUAGUAUUAAUUAGUACAAUUGACUUCCAAUCAAUUAGCUUCGGCACAAUCCGAAAAAGAAUA